rnacentral:rRNA from 1 species
AAUAGAUACCCUGGUAGUCCACGCCGUAAACGAUGGAUACUAGCUGUUGGGGGCGACCUCAGUGGCUAAGCGAAAGUGAUAAGUAUCCCACCUGGGGAGUACGUUCGCAAGAAUGAAACUCAAAGGAAUUGACGGGGGCCCGCACAAGCGGUGGAGCAUGUGGUUUAAUUCGAUGAUACGCGAGGAACCUUACCAAGGCUUAAAUGCAGACUGACCGUUUUGGAAACAGAACUUUCGCAAGACAGUCUACAAGGUGCUGCAUGGUUGUCGUCAGCUCGUGCCGUGAGGUGUCAGGUUAAGUCCUAUAACGAGCGCAACCCCUGUUGUUAGUUGCCAGCGAGUAGUGUCGGGAACUCUAACAAGACUGCCAGUGCAAACUGUGAGGAAGGUGGGGAUGACGUCAAAUCAUCACGGCCCUUACGCCUUGGGCUACACACGUGCUACAAUGGCCGGUACAGAAAGCAGCCACCUCGCGAGGGGGAGCGAAUCUACAAAGCCGGUCACAGUUCGGAUCGGAGU